rnacentral:rRNA from 1 species
GAUGAACGCUGGCGGCGUGCUUAACACAUGCAAGUCGAACGAACCUUCGGGUUAGUGGCGGACGGGUGAGUAACGCGUGAGAAUCUGCCCUCAGGAGGGGGAUAACAGUUGGAAACGACUGCUAAUACCCCAUAUGCCGAGAGGUGAAACGAAUUUCGCCUGGGGAUGAGCUCGCGUCUGAUUAGCUUGUUGGUGGGGUAAAGGCCUACCAAGGCUUCGAUCAGUAGCUGGUCUGAGAGGACGAUCAGCCACACUGGGACUGAGACACGGCCCAGACUCCCACGGGAGGCAGCAGUGGGGAAUUUUCCGCAAUGGGCGCAAGCCUGACGGAGCAACGCCGCGUGAGGGAUGAAGGCCUUUGGGCUGUAAACCUCUUUUCUCAAGGAAGAACAUCUGACGGUACUUGAGGAAUAAGCCACGGCUAAUUCCGUGCCAGCAGCCGCGGUAAUACGGGAGUGGCAAGCGUUAUCCGGAAUUAUUGGGCGUAAAGCGUCCGCAGGCGGCCGUUUAAGUCUGUUGUUAAAUCGUGGAGCUCAACUCCAUCACGGCAAUGGAAACUGUUCGGCUUGAGUAUGGUAGGGGCAGAGGGAAUUUCCGGUGUAGCGGUGAAAUGCGUAGAUAUCGGGAAGAACACCAGUGGCAAAAGCGCUCUGCUGGGCCAUUACUGACGCUCAUGGACGAAAGCCAGGGGAGCGAAAGGGAUUAGAUACCCCUGUAGUCCUGGCCGUAAACGAUGAACACUAGAUGUUGGGGGAAUCGACCCCUCCAGUGUCGUAGCUAACGCGUUAAGUGUUCCGCCUGGGGAGUACGCACGCAAGUGUGAAACUCAAAGGAAUUGACGGGGGCCCGCACAAGCGGUGGAGUAUGUGGUUUAAUUCGAUGCAACGCGAAGAACCUUACCAAGGCUUGACAUCCUGCGAAUCUCCAAGAAAUUGGAGAGUGCCUUCGGGAACGCAGUGACAGGUGGUGCAUGGCUGUCGUCAGCUCGUGUCGUGAGAUGUUGGGUUAAGUCCCGCAACGAGCGCAACCCACGUUUUUAGUUGCCAGCAUUCAGUUGGGCACUCUAGAAAGACUGCCGGUGACAAACCGGAGGAAGGUGUGGACGACGUCAAGUCAUCAUGCCCCUUACGCCUUGGGCUACACACGUACUACAAUGCUGCGGACAAAGAGUAGCGAUCUUGCAAAAGUUAGCUAAUCUCGUAAACCGUGGCUCAGUUCAGAUCGUAGGCUGCAACUCGCCUACGUGAAGGAGGAAUCGCUAGUAAUCGCAGGUCAGCAUACUGCGGUGAAUACGUUCCCGGGCCUUGUCCACACCGCCCGUCACACCAUGGAAGUUGGCCAUGCCCGAAGUCGUUACUCUAACCUUUUGGAAGAGGGCGCCGAAGGCAGGGCUAAUGACUGGGGUG